GACGAACGCCGGCGGCGUGCUUAACACAUGCAAGUCGAACGAUGAUGCCCAGCUUGCUGGGUGGAUUAGUGGCGAACGGGUGAGUAACACGUGAGUAACCUGCCCCUGACUCUGGGAUAAGCGUUGGAAACGACGUCUAAUACUGGAUAUGAUCACCGGCCGCAUGGUCUGGUGGUGGAAAGAUUUUUUGGUUGGGGAUGGACUCGCGGCCUAUCAGCUUGUUGGUGAGGUAAUGGCUCACCAAGGCGACGACGGGUAGCCGGCCUGAGAGGGUGACCGGCCACACUGGGACUGAGACACGGCCCAGACUCCUACGGGAGGCAGCAGUGGGGAAUAUUGCACAAUGGGCGAAAGCCUGAUGCAGCAACGCCGCGUGAGGGAUGACGGCCUUCGGGUUGUAAACCUCUUUUAGUAGGGAAGAAGCGAAAGUGACGGUACCUGCAGAAAAAGCACCGGCUAACUACGUGCCAGCAGCCGCCGUAA
rnacentral:rRNA from 1 species